AUGAACGCUGGCGGCGUGCCUAAUACAUGCAAGUCGAGCGAACAGAUAAGGAGCUUGCUCCUUUGACGUUAGCGGCGGACGGGUGAGUAACACGUGGGUAACCUACCUAUAAGACUGGGAUAACUUCGGGAAACCGGAGCUAAUACCGGAUAAUAUUUCGAACCGCAUGGUUCGAUAGUGAAAGAUGGUUUUGCUAUCACUUAUAGAUGGACCCGCGCCGUAUUAGCUAGUUGGUAAGGUAACGGCUUACCAAGGCGACGAUACGUAGCCGACCUGAGAGGGUGAUCGGCCACACUGGAACUGAGACACGGUCCAGACCCCUACGGGAGGCAGCAGUAGGGAAUCUUCCGCAAUGGGCGAAAGCCUGACGGAGCAACGCCGCGUGAGUGAUGAAGGUCUUCGGAUCGUAAAACUCUGUUAUUAGGGAAGAACAUACGUGUAAGUAACUGUGCACGUCUUGACGGUACCUAAUCAGAAAGCCACGGCUAACUACGUG
rnacentral:rRNA from 1 species